GCCCUCGUAGCUCAAUGGAUCGAGCAGCGCCAUUGCGAAGCGUUAGACCCCGGUUCGACCCCGGGCGAGGGCA
rnacentral:tRNA from 1 species